CCCCUCCCUUUCGGCGGCCCUGCUCGCGCACGAAUUCUUCGAUGUUGACCCCAACCCUAUAAAAUGCGCGCGAGACACCAGGAUACAACCACAUUUGUUUGUAUACUCAUUAAUAAGACGUUCUCUAGCUCAAUACUAAACAUUUCAUAGAAUAAACAUAUGUGUAAAAUCGUGUGACAACGUGAACUUCUUGUCCCAGGUACAGAUUUUAG